rnacentral:rRNA from 1 species
UGGGGAAUAUUGGACAAUGGGCGAAAGCCUGAUCCAGCCAUGCCGCGUGUGUGAAGAAGGUCUUCGGAUUGUAAAGCACUUUAAGUUGGGAGGAAGGGCAUUAACCUAAUACGUUAGUGUUUUGACGUUACCGACAGAAUAAGCACCGGCUAACUCUGUGCCAGCAGCCGCGGUAAUACAGAGGGUGCAAGCGUUAAUCGGAAUUACUGGGCGUAAAGCGCGCGUAGGUGGUUUGUUAAGUUGGAUGUGAAAUCCCCGGGCUCAACCUGGGAACUGCAUUCAAAACUGACUGACUAGAGUAUGGUAGAGGGUGGUGGAAUUUCCUGUGUAGCGGUGAAAUGCGUAGAUAUAGGAAGGAACACCAGCGGCGAAGGCGACCACCUGGACUAAUACUGACACUGAGGUGCGAAAGCGUGGGGAGCAAACA